GCUGGGCAUGGUGUGGUGCAUGCCUGUAAUCCCAGCUACUCGGGAGGCUGAGGCAGGAGAAUUGCUUAAACCGGGGAGGCGGAGGCUGCAGUGAGCUGAGAUUCAGUCACUGCAGUCCAGCCUGGGUGACAGAGCAAGAUUUUGUCUCAA
ensembl:misc_RNA Metazoa_SRP Metazoan signal recognition particle RNA